UAUCAGAUAUUGCAAAACGAACUCUCCUCCUUUUCAAACCCUACUUCCAAUUCUCUCUCAUGCCACUCUCCAUUUUAGAACGGAUACAAUGGAGUCGGAGAAGAACAAAGAACUGGAAUGUUGAAGAUGAAGAUUAAACAAGGAUCUGAACCUGACUUGCUAUUUUGACCUUCAGUUUGUAUCGAAAGUUGUCACGUUGUCUUUGGUUUUGGUCGUUGUUGAGUGACAUCCAUUCGGAAAAUGCUGGUAAUAUACAAGAAAUUCUUCAGCAAAGAUGUGAUUGGAAUAUGGGAUAUAGAGAGAAGCUGCAUCGAGAGAAAAAGGAGCUAGAAAACCUGAAAAGGAAAGGCAACAACGGAGGCUGCAAAAAAUGCAAGUAGGCGAGUAGAAGCUAUGUUGGAGGCAAAGCGAAAGAAAGACCUUGAAAGGGAAGUAGCUCGCCAGGCAUUAUUGAAGGUGAAGAACGAAGGUCAUCAGUUAUCAAAUACGCUAUCCAAGUAACUGAAGCAAUCACAAUUGGAACCAUGAUUGACACACGCAAUUCCAUUAUGGCCCGUUGUGGUCAUUUCUUCCAAAUGGAAAUGGAGUUGGUAAUCACAUGAUUGAUGUUGAGAUAGAGAGCAUUAUGGAGCUUAGAGAACAAGUAUUAAGGGUCUAGGGGCUUUUACGGUUCUUAGAUAACAUUGAUCCUACCAUCCUACAACAUAUUCUACAGGCUGCGUUUUCCAACAGAUUAGUUUGCAAGUAAUUUGUAACAAGUCAGGCUGCCUACUGCAGUUAGUGAUGCAGAUGCUUUGUGGCUUGAGAGGUUCGCAGUAUCAUGGAUCUUUGAUUAAUUUACCGAAUGGUUCCUAAUCAAACAUGAAAUACACCUUGAUUAUUUGUCUCUAAGGUAUGAAAAAGACCGCCAUUUGAGUUGGCUCCCUUAGAUAUUUUGCUGAGUACAGUGGACCCAAUGAAAGAACCACCCUUUAUUACUUCAAACACGGUGUUAUCGAUCUUAGCAGUUGAUUAUUCCGUGGAUAAAGUUGCUUGUUAUGAUCUGAUGAUGGUGUUGUCAUGCUGCCAUGCUUACAUUUGAAGCCAUUCAAAAUUUUCUUUACCAUGAGCUUGGUGGGGUACCUAUGGUUCAAUUCUGACAAGUACACGGUCGAUAUGGGUCGAUUUUGGUAAAUUUUGUUAUUUUCAUUAUGGGUAACGAAGCGGUACUGAACCAUGAAGUUCGUGCUUACCAUGAUGGGCAUGUAAGUUUCGUAAAAAUUGUUAUAGAAAUUUUAAAUUUAGUUGUUACUUAGCCCUCACCUGGUAAGCAUCUUGGAGGAGCUUAAAUUGACUAACUUCAUUUAGAGCUUCUUAUAAUUAAGUAAGCCUUAUUUAUGUGUUCUUUUUCCGGAUAGUCAUUUGCACUAUAUAGUUGGUUCUUUGUUUUAAUGGCGAAUAUCAUUUAUGAGAUUUGAUUUGAAGGAACUUCAUCAUCAUAUCAACAACAUUAGCCAUGACGAGAGUAUGCAACAUUUAGCUACUUGUUCCAUUAUAUGGAAGGUAUAAAAACUUACCAAUUCU